rnacentral:rRNA from 1 species
CCUACGGGAGGCAGCAGUAGGGAAUCUUCCACAAUGGGCGAAAGCCUGAUGGAGCAACGCCGCGUGGGUGAAGAAGGUCUUCGGAUCGUAAAACCCUGUUGUUAGAGAAGAAAGUGCGUGAGAGUAACUGUUCACGUUUCGACGGUAUCUAACCAGAAAGCCACGGCUAACUACGUGCCAGCAGCCGCGGUAAUACGUAGGUGGCAAGCGUUAUCCGGAUUUAUUGGGCGUAAAGGGAACGCAGGCGGUCUUUUAAGUCUGAUGUGAAAGCCUUCGGCUUAACCGGAGUAGUGCAUUGGAAACUGGGAGACUUGAGUGCAGAAGAGGAGAGUGGAACUCCAUGUGUAGCGGUGAAAUGCGUAGAUAUAUGGAAGAACACCAGUGGCGAAAGCGGCUCUCUGGGCUGUAUCUGACGCUGAGGUUCGAAAGCGUGGGUAGCAAACAGGAUUAGAUACCCGAGUAGUC